AGGAAAAUGCAGGGGGCUUGGUGAAAAUUUGCUCUAGGUCCCAGACUUGGCAAAUGAUACAAGAUUUAACUCACACAGUCCGGCUUCCAAGCCCACACUCUUAACCACUGUACUCUGGAUGCUGGGCAAUAUAGUCCAGUAGUGUGGCUAGCAGGAAAAUUAAAGGGGUUUGGUGAAUCCAUUGCUCCUGCCAUCACCCAGAUUAAAGACCUGCCCUCUCAUCCGGAGUCAGGGAUUGAGUGGGCAAGCACUGUGGGCUGCAGACACCAAGCUCCACCAUGAUUCCCCCUCCACUCUCAGAGGCUCCAUCCAGCUGGCAGGCUCACAGCACUGCAGCCCAGCAUCUGAAGUGGAAAUUGGAAUUACUAUCCUAGGCAAACUGGAAUUUAUUCUUCAAAAUUGUUGAAGUUAUCUCCUCAGUGGGAUUCAAUUAGCUAAAGAUGAGAGAUUUUCAGCUGGGAGCAGCUCUGGAGCAGCAGAUACACUGGGUACUGUCCCUAGGCUGAUGACUGUCACAUUUUUAGUGGGGCCAAAACUUUCCUCCAAGAUUCAGAUGUGUGUCACCAACUAGAGAGCAGGCUUGGAAUUUAAAAAUAAAGUUUUCAGGGAGGGGCUUCUAUAUGCCCCUUUCUGCUUGCUUUGACUUUGGCCAUGUGGAAGAGAGAUGAGGCAGCACUUCCAGGGGAUCCUUCAAUCAACCUAUGGUUCUUAAUACUUGAAUUAAAAGGAGAAUGGUCAUUAAACAGAAACUGCUGCUAAAAGUGACAAGCAACUUAGCAAUACACAUUAGGAGCAAAGAUUAUAAUUUAUGCAGCAUAUUUUCAUAUACAGGCAAAUCUGAGAUAGAAGGAAAAACAAAUGGCUUGGAAUAAAACAAAAUCCUUAAAAUGUGUAAG
rnacentral:lncRNA from 10 species